rnacentral:misc_RNA from 1 species
UGGCUCUCGCAUCGAUGAAGAACGCAGCGAAAUGCGAUACGUAAUGUGAAUUGCAGAAUUCAGUGAAUCAUCGAAUCUUUGAACGCAUAUUGCGCCUUCUGGUAUUCCGGAAGGCAUGCUUGUUUGAGUAUCAGUAACAACCUCAACUCCUUUUCAUCGCGGAAAGGUGUUGGAUUUGAGCAUAUCCACCAAGUUCCCUUGUGGAUUUUGGAGGAUGCUUGAAAUAUGAGGUUCGGCCGGCAGUGCCUGGGCUACAAGCAUUUCAUACUUAAUCCCGUUAAACGGAUUAUAUCCUUUGCUGCAGCCAACAUACAGGGUAAUUGUCCAGUGUCCGACUGAUGCAGGAAAGUUGAGACUUUGUUCUCUUCUAAACUCGAUCUCAAAUCAAGUAAGACUACCCGCUGA